ACGGGUGAGUAACACGUGGGUGAUCUGCCCUGCACUUUGGGAUAAGCCUGGGAAACUGGGUCUAAUACCGAAUAUGACCAUGCGCCUCCUGGUGUGUGGUGGAAAGCUUUUGCGGUGUGGGAUGGGCCCGCGGCCUAUCAGCUUGCUGGUGGGGUAAUGGCCUACCAAGGCGACGACGGGUAGCCGGCCUGAGAGGAUGACCGGCCACACUGGGACUGAGAUACGGCCCAGACUCCUACGGGAGGCAGCAGUGGGGAAUAUUGCACAAUGGGCGCAAGCCUGAUGCAGCGACGCCGCGUGAGGGAUGACGGCCUUCGGGUUGUAAACCUCUUUCAGCACAGACGAAGCGCAAGUGACGGUAUGUGCAGAAGAAGGACCGGCCAACUACGUGCCAGCAGCCGCGGUAAUACGUAGGGUCCGAGCGUUGUCCGGAAUUACUGGGCGUAAAGAGCUCGUAGGUGGUUUGUCGCGUUGUUCGUGAAAACUCACAACUCAAUUGUGGGCGUGCGGGCGAUACGGGCAGACUUGAGUACUGCAGGGGAGACUGGAAUUCCUGGUGUAGCGGUGGAAUGCGCAGA
rnacentral:rRNA from 1 species